AUAAGUUUCUAGUCCAGUAUCCUGGGUAAUCCCUGUGGAGCCACAGGAACAUUCAGGAAGCUGUAUGAAGAAGUCUGUGUAUGCAAAGAGGCAAAGAGAACAGGCAAAAUUUGCUCAUCCUCAUUUAUGGGGCUGCAAAUGUCUGCCAUGGUCGUGAACUUUUCUCCCGGCAGGGGAUGGCCCUGCCUGCACAACACCGAGACCUUCAAGCAAAUGAAACUGGGAGACACUGAAAGGAAACACUGGGGUACCUUUAACCACCUCUGCUGCUCCCAGUUUUACCAACAAAUGGUUUCCACAAAGAAUUAGGUUUUAGUGGCUGACGGACGAGACAUCAGUUGAAGACAGAGGCAAACAGAUGGGAUAAUAAACCUG